AGAGUUUGAUCCUGGCUCAGGAUGAACGCUGGCGGCGUGCCUAACACAUGCAAGUCGAGCGAUUCUCUUCGGAGAAGAGCGGCGGACGGGUGAGUAACGCGUGGGUAACCUGCCCUGUACACACGGAUAACAUACCGAAAGGUAUGCUAAUACGAGAUAACAUAAGAAAUUCGCAUGUUUUUCUUAUCAAAGCUCCGGCGGUACAGGAUGGACCCGCGUCUGAUUAGCUAGUUGGUGAGGUGACGGCUCACCAAGGCGACGAUCAGUAGCCGACCUGAGAGGGUGAUCGGCCACAUUGGAACUGAGACACGGUCCAAACUCCUACGGGAGGCAGCAGUGGGGAAUAUUGCACAAUGGGCGAAAGCCUGAUGCAGCAACGCCGCGUGAGCGAUGAAGGCCUUCGGGUCGUAAAGCUCUGUCCUCAAGGAAGAUAAUGACGGUACUUGAGGAGGAAGCCCCGGCUAACUACGUGCCGGCAGCCGCGGUAAUACGUAGGGGGCUAGCGUUAUCCGGAUUUACUGGGCGUAAAGGGUGCGUAGGCGGUCUUUUAAGUCAGGAGUGAAAGGCUACGGCUCAACCGUAGUAAGCUCUUGAAACUGGAGGACUUGAGUGCAGGAGAGGAGAGUGGAAUUCCUAGUGUAGCGGUGAAAUGCGUAGAUAUUAGGAGGAACACCAGUAGCGAAGGCGGCUCUCUGGACUGUAACUGACGCUGAGGCACGAAAGCGUGGGGAGCAAACAGGAUCAGAUACCCUGGUAGUCCACGCCGUAAACGAUGAGUACUAGGUGUCGGGGGUUACCCCCCUCGGUGCCGCAGCUAACGCAUUAAGUACUCCGCCUGGGGAGUACGCUCGCAAGAGUGAAACUCAAAGGAAUUGACGGGGACCCGCACAAGUAGCGGAGCAUGUGGUUUAAUUCGAAGCAACGCGAAGAACCUUACCUAAGCUUGACAUCCUUUUGACCGAUGCCUAAUCGCAUCUUUCCCUUCGGGGACAGAAGUGACAGGUGGUGCAUGGUUGUCGUCAGCUCGUGUCGUGAGAUGUUGGGUUAAGUCCCGCAACGAGCGCAACCCUUGCCUUUAGUUGCCAUCAUUAAGUUGGGCACUCUAGAGGGACUGCCAGGGAUAACCUGGAGGAAGGUGGGGAUGACGUCAAAUCAUCAUGCCCCUUAUGCUUAGGGCUACACACGUGCUACAAUGGGUGGUACAGAGGGCAGCGAAGUCGUGAGGCCAAGCUAAUCCCUUAAAGCCAUUCUCAGUUCGGAUUGUAGGCUGAAACUCGCCUACAUGAAGCUGGAGUUACUAGUAAUCGCAGAUCAGAAUGCUGCGGUGAAUGCGUUCCCGGGUCUUGUACACACCGCCCGUCACACCAUGGGAGUUGGGGGCGCCCGAAGCCGGCUAGCUAACCUUUUGGAAGCGGUCGUCGAAGGUGAAACCAAUAACUGGGGUGAAGUCGUAACAAGGUA
rnacentral:rRNA from 1 species